UGGGGAAUCGUCUAAUGGUAGGACUGCAGACUCUGACUCUGCCUGUCUAGGUUCGAAUCCUAGUUCCCCAGCCA
rnacentral:tRNA from 2 species